AAGGGAGACCUAAUUCGGGUAUAAGACGAAAAAAGAGUAGUCGAAACCAAGAAUCAGUCCCAAAAGGUCGGAACGAGGUAUGUGGCUUUCAAACUAGGUUCUGGGUUCACACAAGACCUGAAUCAGGAACAAGGGCUAUUAGCUCAGGUGGUUAGAGCGCACCCCUGAUAAGGGUGAGGUCCCUGGUUCGAGUCCAGGAUGGCCCACCUGCACAGGUGGCAAAAACAAAGAAGCGAGGAAUCAGCACCUUAUCUUAUCUAUAUAUAAGAGAGAAUGCUGGCUCUGAGUAAAGAGUCCAGAGGAACCUUGAAAACUGCAUAGAGCUAGGUGAAAAAGCCAAAAAAGAAGACCGCAA
rnacentral:tRNA from 1 species